AGCUCAAUUUAGGAGUGACAUUCAGUGGCAGAAGCCAGGAAAGAAUUAAGUGAGAGUCAAGAGCGGAGGCAGGAGACGAUGCUGAGACUAAUGGGGGAGCAAACGGACAUGAUGAAAUGUCUUUUGGAGCUUCAGGA